rnacentral:rRNA from 1 species
GACGAACGCUGGCGGCGUGCCUAAUACAUGCAAGUCGAGCGGACUGUCAGGGGUUCUGGCACGCGGUAGGGUGAGCGGCGGGCGGGUGAGUAACACGUAGGCAACCUUCGCAUAAGACCUGAAUAACAUUCGGAAACGAAUACUAAUACCGGAUAGACGGACUUCUCGCAUGGGGUGAGCGGGAAAGGCGGAGCAGUCUGCGGCUUGUGGAUGAUCCUGCGGCGGAUUAGGUGGUUGGUGGGGUAACGGUCUACCGAGGGGACGAUGCGGAGGCUAACCGGGAGGGUGAUAGGCCACACUGGGACUGAGCCACCGACCAGAGUCCUACGGGAGGGCGCAGUAGGGAACCUUACGCAAUGGAGGCAAGUAUGGCGGAGUAACGCCGAGUGAGUGACGGCGGCCUUCGGGUCGUAAAGCUCUGUUGCCAGUGAAGAACGGGUAGGGGAGUAACCGACCUUGCCAUGACGGUACCUGAGAAGAAAGCCCCGGCUAACUACGUG